CUUGGCCGAGCCCAGCCACAGCGGCGGACGGCCCGCCCGGUCCCGGCCGUAGGUCGCCAGCAGCGCCUGCACCUC
rnacentral:antisense_RNA from 1 species